rnacentral:lncRNA from 1 species
GAGCCCAUAACAAUAGGAGUCAAAACAGCAAAUAGAAGCACAAUGGGACAACUCUCACUCUCACACAACUAAAGUCAAGUGCUAUGUGUGUUACAUAGCUGCCAACAUGUUUUUUUUUUUAAUUUUGAACUAGUUAUUCAUACAUAUAUAAAAUCUGGAAGGUUCAUGUUUUUGUUUUGUUUUGUUUUCCAAUCAAGAUUCCUGCCUUCUUGAAAUAGCAGAAAUUCUACCAGCUUCCUACAUGCCAACUUUUAAUUUGAGACUGUUCUGGUAUUUUCCACAGACAUCUCCUCAUCAUCCCUCUGCCUUUUCAUCUACCGAACACACUGGAAUUAGCUCCUUGGCCACCAUGAGCAGAGCCCAUCACCCUGAUGCCGCAGCUCCGUACCUGCUUCCUAUUCUCUGCUACAGCAAUCACCAUGAACUCGGGAGCUCAAAGCCGCACCAGUCUGUUACCUUAAGAACAAUGGUGAUGGCAUAAUCAGCCUCCUUGAUAUUGACUGAGAUUACAGAUUACAGUAUGGAGUAUGGGGGUAUGGAGGAUAUAAGGCCAACCUGGGCUAUAUCCUUGUGGUGGUUUGAGGAUGCUUGGCCCAUGGAAAGUGGUGCUGUUAGGAGGUGUGGCCUUGUUGGAAUAGGAGUGGCCUUGUUGGAGGUACUGUGUCACUGUGUAGGUGGACUUUGAGGCCUCCCCUAGGAGAGCUCCACCCACCGUGGAAGAGGACCCUCCUCCUGGCUGGUAGCUUCUUGGCUACCUGAAAAACAGAGUCUCUUUCUGGCCACCUUCCAUUCAAGAUGU